rnacentral:rRNA from 1 species
AUACGGAGGAUCCGAGCGUUAUCCGGAUUUAUUGGGUUUAAAGGGUGCGCAGGCGGCCAUUUAAGUCAGCGGUUAAAUCGUGGGGCUCAACCCCAUUCUGCCGUUGAUACUGGGUGGCUUGAUUGCGGUCGAGGUUGGCGGAAUUCGUUGUGUAGCGGUGAAAUGCAUAGAUAUGACGAAGAACACCGAUUGCGUAGGCAGCUGACCAGACCGCAAAUGACGCUCAUGCACGAAAGUGCGGGGAUCGAACAGGAUUAGAUACCCUGGUAGUCCGCACAGUAAACGAUGAAUACUUGUUUUCGGCGAUAUAAUGUCGGAGGCAAAGCGAAAGCGAUAAGUAUUCCACCUGGGGAGUACGCCGGCACCGGUGAAACUCAAAUAAAUUUGCGGGG